AACGAACGCUGGCGGCGUGUUUAAGACAUGCAAGUCGCACGGUUUCAUUUUGGUAGCAAUACUUGGAUGGCACAGUGGCGCACGGGUGAGUAACACGUGAAUGACAUGCCCUUCAGAGGGGGAUAGCCCAGGGAAACUUGGAUUAAUACCCCAUGGUCUCGCGAGAGUAAAGGUGGCCGCAAGGAUGUCGGUGGAGGAUUGGUUCGCGUUCUAUCAGCUUGUUGGCGGGGUAACGGCCCACCAAGGCUACGACGGAUACCUGGUCUGAGAGGACGAUCAGGCACACUGGAACUGAGACACGGUCCAGACACCUACGGGUGGCAACAGUCGAGAAUAAUUCACAAUGGGGGCAACCCUGAUGGUGCAACGCCGCGUGGAGGAUGAAGGUCUGCGGAUUGUAAACUCCUGUCAUCCGGGAGCAUGACCUGGCCGUGAAUAGCGGACAGAGUUGAUAGUACCGGAAGAGGAAGGGACGGCUAACUUCGUGCCAGCAGCCGCGGUAAGAC
rnacentral:rRNA from 1 species